rnacentral:rRNA from 1 species
CAGAGAUGGAUUGGUGCCUUCGGGAACUGUGAGACAGGUGCUGCAUGGCUGUCGUCAGCUCGUGUUGUGAAAUGUUGGGUUAAGUCCCGCAACGAGCGCAACCCUUAUCCUUUGUUGCCAGCGGUCCGGCCGGGAACUCAAAGGAGACUGCCAGUGAUAAACUGGAGGAAGGUGGGGAUGACGUCAAGUCAUCAUGGCCCUUACGACCAGGGCUACACACGUGCUACAAUGGCGCAUACAAAGAGAAGCGACCUCGCGAGAGCAAGCGGACCUCAUAAAGUGCGUCGUAGUCCGGAUUGGAGUCUGCAACUCGACUCCAUGAAGUCGGAAUCGCUAGUAAUCGUGGAUCAGAAUGCCACGGUGAAUACGUUCCCGGGCCUUGUACACACCGCCCGUCACACCAUGGGAGUGGGUUGCAAAAGAAGUAGGUAGCUUAACCUUCGGGAGGGCGCUUACCACUUUGUGAUUCAUGACUGGGGUGAAGUCGUAACAAGGUAACCGUAGGGGAACCUGCGGUUGGAUCACCUCCUUACCUUAAAGAA